UACGUAGGGUGCGAGCGUUGUCCGGAAUUAUUGGGCGUAAAGAGCUUGUAGGCGGUUUGUCGCGUCUGCUGUGAAAAUCCGGGGCUCAACCCCGGACUUGCAGUGGGUACGGGCAGACUAGAGUGUGGUAGGGGAGACUGGAAUUCCUGGUGUAGCGGUGAAAUGCGCAGAUAUCAGGAGGAACACCGGUGGCGAAGGCGGGUCUCUGGGCCGAUACUGACGCUGAGGAGCGAAAGCGUGGGGAGCGAACGGG
rnacentral:rRNA from 1 species